rnacentral:sRNA from 12 species
UCUGUGGAGUGUUAUAUCAAACUGAAGUAGCCUUGGCAAAACAGGACACGAUGAAGCAGAAA